GAUGAACGCUGGCGGCGUGCUUAACACAUGCAAGUCGAACGGUGAAGCAGGAGCUUGCUCUUGUGGAUCAGUGGCGAACGGGUGAGUAACACGUGAGCAACCUGCCCCUGACUCUGGGAUAAGCGCUGGAAACGGCGUCUAAUAACGGAUAUGUGAUGUGACCGCAUGGUCUGCAUCUGGAAAGAAUUUCGGUUGGGGAUGGGCUCGCGGCCUAUCAGCUUGUUGGUGAGGUAAUGGCUCACCAAGGCGUCGACGGGUAGCCGGCCUGAGAGGGUGACCGGCCACACUGGGACUGAGACACGGCCCAGACUCCUACGGGAGGCAGCAGUGGGGAAUAUUGCACAAUGGGCGGAAGCCUGAUGCAGCAACGCCGCGUGAGGGAUGACGGCCUUCGGGUUGUAAACCUCUUUUAGCAGGGAAGAAGCGAAAGUGACGGUACCUGCAGAAAGAGCACCGGCUAACUACGUGCCAGCCGCCGCGGUAA
rnacentral:rRNA from 1 species